UUGUGUCACUUCAACUGCGUGUGUGUGUUCAAGUGUUCUCUUCAACUACCACUACACAAGGGGAGCAGUGUGUGGCCAUCCCUUAGUGUAUGGUGGUGAUAGAACGUCUACCAACCUCAUCAUGGUCCUCGCUCUACUGCCCCUGCUCUUCUCAGUGGUCCUGGCGGAAGACCCCUUUUACGGCGAGUUGGCCGCUCAGUUCCCGGUGACGCUGGACCCCGAUGGCAGUGACCAGUACCUGUUCUUCAUCGUGCCGAUCCAGAAGAGCGACGACAUGAACGUGGUCGUGCAGGUGGCGCAGGUCCAAGAGGGGUCGUACCUCCGCAACGACUCGAGGGCUGCCAUAACCGCGGAAGCAGAGAAUGGCGACGUCAAUGUGUCUUCGAUCGCCAGUCCCGACUUGUCCCUGGAUGAUGUGUUUCGCACUGGGAAGGACGACAUCCAGCCAGAGUUCAAUUUCCAGGUCCCGGUGGUCGUCCCCCUGAACUUCCCUUUCCGGUACGACCCUGGGGAUGGGUCGCCACAGCUGCCCAACUGCGCCGUCGACUCGCGCACUUGGAUGGAAAAUGUCAUUUCCAAAAUCACGACCACAAUGAAUCUGGAUUGCACUCCUGAGUGGGACCAUAGUGACCUUACCUUAAGGAUUCGUCUGCUGAAGGACAACUUGGCGGCGACGUCCGUGGAGGACCUCUCGACCUCCAGCCUCCUUACAGAGUACAUGGCGAAGGUCGUGUCCUGCAACGCUCUCGCGGGAGUUAGGACUUCGGCCAUCCUGCAAAAUAUUGACAGUCUCACGGCUAACUACGGCGGUAUUGUGUCCGAGGCCCUUGACACCUAUCGUCUCCUGAAGCAGUCCCUGGCGGUAGCUAGCGUCGCUGCAGACUCGCUUCCCUCGGGUUCUGCUGUAGAUGUCGCUAUUAGUCAGAUAAACAUGUUGAGCUCUUCGGUAAACACGACGCUGACUCAGCUCGAUGCCGCUUACGAUUUAGUGAGAGAACUGCAAAGCAAGGAAGAGAACUGAAUGAUUUCCAUUAUUAAUGAUCAUUCUAUCAUUGGUUUUAUUUGGAAUUGUUUACCUUUUCUUUCUGUUAACGUAAUUGCAUCUUCUGUUAACAAUUAUAAUUUCUUUUAACGCCCAAUUAUCUAUUCUAAGAAGGGCCUGUGUUUAUUAUUGAAAACAAUUAAUCUUUGAAGUAAAAAAAAAAAAAAA
rnacentral:misc_RNA from 1 species